AGUCAGGGAGAGUCGAGGAAACAGCUGCUUCCUUGUGGCGUCUGGCCUUUUUUAUUUCCACUGUGAACCAGUAAAGCUGGCUGCCUUUUACAGCAGUUGUAAAGCCAUAUUAAUAAACGCUGAAAGUCCCACUACACAGGACAAAGCUAAUUUACUCAGAUCAUAUUAUGCAUCAUGCUGUGUCUUAUUUGGAGGCAAUCAAAUCUCUAAAAAAGAAUAGAAAAAUUUGGUUUGAACUGUGAAUGGCCAGUCUUUCUUCAGCUUGGACUCCAACAGAUGAAUACAUGUAAUCAGAUAUGGAACAGAAGAGGAGUUGAGUUUUGUUUAAUUUCAGGACUCCUGGAAGAGACAUCCACUAAGGCAGCGGAUGGUAAUGAGUGCUGACACAGGCCGGCCGGCCCCCACAGUGCUGUGGGUGCCGAUAGCCGCUGCCAUGGCAAACCGAUUCUCUGCUGUGAAACCAGCCUGACGUACGGCGAGAAGGGCUUCCUCUCUUCCACAGGUGGCCAGUGUCUACCAGCAAACUACUAAAUCAGACCUUUUCUUCCAACAGGAAAGGGACUUUUAGUCACUUUAGGUUGAUGUUGGUAGUGAGUUGCACGGGCCCACAUAUAGGCUCGUGAAAAGCGAGGUUAUGCAACAGCCCGGCCAUUGGAACAAACUGCCAUUUACUGAGGGUGAAAGGAGCAGUUAAGAAUGGCGAGGGACCCAUUGUCAGCUGUCAUUGGUAUGCAGAGCACUGCAGUAAUACUAUUGGGACCCUCGUUGGUUUUGAUCAAAAUACGCUGUAUCUUUACCCCCUGAUCUGUGGGGAGCUUUCUUCUCCAUGUUGCCCUCAAACUGCUCCAGUCAUAGAGAACGACAGAAACAGCCCAGUCACGAGGCCCAAGGCCCGCCCGUGCAUGUCACAUGGAGGACCAAAACUAUCAACGCUUAGAAUGAAGCCAACUUUGUAUUUUUUCUGUUCAAAUCAUGUGUUCAAAGGUACUCAGAAUAAAACUUGAGUAAACACUUCACUUGCAGAGUUGCAGGAAGAGCCUGAAAUAUGUUGUGCCAGUACAACCAGUAUAAUGAAAGGUGGACACCUAGUCAAUAACAGUAACCAUCGUUGUAGCAUUUUCCUAUGCAGUGAAUAAGUGAAUUGCAUGUAUUCUCACAAAGCAAUCUGUAAUCUCCUGAAUAAACAGUGUUUGAAUAAGAA